rnacentral:rRNA from 1 species
GCUUACGGCCACACCGCCUGGUUAUACGCUUGAUCUCGGAAGAUAAGGAUAGGUUGGGCCUGGUUAGUACUUGGAUGGGAGACCGCCUGGGAAUACCAGGUGCUGUAAGCU